GACGGAGGAGGCUAGCGUUGUUCGGAAUUACUGGGCGUAAAGCGCGCGCAGGCGGUCUUGCAAGUCAGGGGUGAAAGCCCGGGGCUCAACCUCGGAACUGCCUUUGAGACUGUGAGACUCGAGACCGAGAGAGGAGAGUGGAAUUCCCAGUGUAGAGGUGAAAUUCGUAGAUAUUGGGAAGAACACCAGUGGCGAAGGCGGCUCUCUGGCUCGGUACUGACGCUGAGGCGCGAAAGCGUGGGGAGCAACAGGG
rnacentral:rRNA from 1 species